rnacentral:rRNA from 1 species
CGGCAGGCUUAACACAUGCAAGUCGAGGGGUAACAGGUUCCUUCGGGAAUGCUGACGACCGGCGCACGGGUGAGUAACGCGUAUGCAACCUUCCUGUAUCUGGAGGAUAGGCCUUGGAAACGAGGAUUAAUACUGCGUAACAUUAUAUUAUCGCAUGGUAAAAUAAUCAAAUCUACGGAGGAUACAGAUGGGCAUGCGUGCCAUUAGCUAGAUGGUAAGGUAAGGGCUUACCAUGGCGACGAUGGCUAGGGGUUCUGCAAGGAAGAUCCCCCACACUGGUACUGAGACACGGACCAGACUCCUACGGGAGGCAGCAGUGAGGAAUAUUGGUCAAUGGAGGCAACUCUGAACCAGCCAAGCCGCGUGAAGGAAGACUGUUCUAUGAAUUGUAAACUUCUUUUGUGACAGAGUAAAGAUAGCUACGCGUAGUUAUUUACAAGUAUGUCAUGAAUAAGCAUCGGCUAACUCCGUGCCAGCAGCCGCGGUAAUACGGAGGAUGCAGGCGUUAUCCGGAUUUAUUAGGUUUAAAGGGUGUUCAGGCUGUCUGGUAAGUCAGAGGUGAACGUCGGUUGCUUAACGAUCGAAUUGCCUUUGAAACUGUCAGACUUGAGUAUGGAUGCGGUAGGCGGAAUGUGUAGUGUAGCGGUGAAAUGCAUAGAUAUUACACAGAACACCGAUUGCGAAAGCAGCUUACCAAACCAGCACUGACGCUGAAGCACGAAAGCGUGGGUAGCGAACAGGAUUAGAUACCCUGGUAGUCCACGCAGUAAACGAUGCUCACUCGCUGUUGGCAAUAGAUCGUCAGCGGCUAAGGGAAACCGAUAAGUGAGCCACCUGGGGAGUACGAUCGCAAGAUUGAAACUCAAAGGAAUUGACGGGGGCCCGCACAAGCGGUGGAACAUGUGGUUAAAUUCGAUGAUACGCGAGGAACCUUACCUGGGCUUAAAUGUACGAUGCAUAAGUGUGAAAGCACUUUUUCCUUCGGGACUUUGUACCACGUGCUGCAUGGUCGUCGUCAGCUCGUGCCGUGAGGUGUCGGGUUAAGUCCCAUAACGAGCGCAACCC